UCUUGUGGAUGAGCAAAGAAAGUGGUUUCUUGAGAUGGAAUUUGCUUCUGGUGAAGAUACUGCGAA
rnacentral:pre_miRNA from 1 species